rnacentral:rRNA from 1 species
ACGGAAGGCAGCAGUGGGGAAUAUUGGGCAAUGGGGGCAACCCUGACCCAGCAACGCCGCGUGAAGGAAGAAGGCUUUCGGGUUGUAAACUUCUUUGACGAGGGACGAAAGAAAUGACGGUACCUCGAAAACAACCCACGGCUAACUACGUGCCAGCAGCCGCGGUAAUACGUAGGUGGCAAGCGUUGUCCGGAUUUACUGGGUGUAAAGGGCGCGUAGGUGGGUGAGCAAGUCAGAUGUGAAAUACCGGGGCUUAACUUCGGGGCUGCAUUUGAAACUGUUCAUCUUGAGUAUCGGAGAGGCAGGCGGAAUUCCUAGUGUAGCGGUAAAAUGCAUAGAUAUUAGGAGGAACGCCAGUGGCGAAGGCGGCCUGCUGGACGACAACUGACACUGAGGCGCGAAAGCGUGGGGAGCAAACAG